ACUUGUCGCCCAGCUGCGAACUGGAGCGGGAGGCGGCGGCCGGAGGGCCCAGGACAGCCCCGGGAGGGCGGCGAGGCGGAGCAGGAGCGCCCCGGCUCCGGCCACAUUCUCAGAGUCAGGAAAAGGGGCGAGAGGCCACAUGUCUCCCUCUCGCCCAACUGAAAACGAAACGGCGCUCCAGCAGAUUGGGUGGAAAGAGCUGGGUCUCUUUUCUCUGUUUUUCACGCUAGAAAGGGCUUGUAAACAUUGUUCCUUUUAAAAUGACCUACCCCAGGCAUUUGUUUGGGCACACUUCUGUCCUGGGGUCAUCGUUCCUAGGUGGCUUCGGACCUGGGACUUUUCCUGUAUCUGCACAUUGUCGUUUUAUACACAAUUGCCAAGGUGGGACUGCUUUCAACUUUACUGUGCUUGAAGCUGCAAAGCGGAUCCUGUUACAGUGCAAAGAAGAAAUGGCAAACGGAUAACAGCUACUGUGCCUAGAAGAUGGUUCUGCCCUGAUGUUUCCUGGAAUAAUGCUGAGGACUGCCUUUCGGGUAGCCGCCCUAUUCAGUUCACUUCAUCUCGGAAAUACCUGACCCCUGCCUUGGAUCCAGCGGCCCUCCUGAGAGCUGAGGAAGGAGGAAAUCCUAUGUGUCUGCUCCCGGAGCUGCCACAACCCAUCUUCCCACAACUCGGAACUUGGAAAAAGGAACCCAGGACACGACUUUGCUUUUCUUUUGGACCUAGUUGGUGAUUAUACUCUGUCUCCCAUGGAGACCACGUCUUGCAUCCUUCCUUCUAUAUGGGAUUUAGGAUAGAAAUUAAAAAGAAAACAUAUUAUUUUGAGUCUUGAUUUGGAGAAAGGUAGUAUUCAGGAGGAAGUAGGCUAUGAUACACAUAGAAAAUUUGAGGACAGUGUUACUUAACAAGGACAUUUCUGUCUCUGCAGAAGUCACAGCUUGGAGGAAACCAGUUUGCACUAUUUGAUGAGGAAUUUGGCCACCAAACCACUGAUACUUUCCCAAAGGUUUGGCAGAAAUUGUUUUUUGAGUGGCUCACCAGAGUACCCAGAAGAAUCAGUAUGGAAUUAGAGGACAGUGGCCUACCCUAAAUAAAGACAUGAGUGAUGUAUAAAGUCUAGUGUCAAUUUAUUCAGAAAAUAUCAAAAUUAUUCUGGGAGCUAUGGGUCAAAGUUGAUAGGCACAAACAAACAAAAACGAAAGGUAUUUUAAAUUCACAGCUUGGAUAAGUAAAAGGGAGAUGUUGUCAUUUCUCUUCUUCAAUCCAACUUUAGAUUUUCAAGCCGGAAAAAGGGUAAUUAGAAGUUAGAAAUUGUUAUUGCCAGAAAAUAGCUCUAAACCCUGAAAAAAAAAAAAAAAAAAAAAAAAACUGACCCUCCUCUUGGGGAGUGAUAAACCUCAAUUACUGUUGAUAGUAAAACUGAUAUCAACUCUUCGAAACCAGUGAAAGGUGAAUGGAAACCUUACCCUAGGUUAAGGUUUAAAAAAUGUUCAUAAUAUAUAUUUGAAAGUUCCAUUAUUUAAAAUAUUCAUUAGACAUGCUUUGUAAUGUUAAGUUACUUCAAAAAAUCUUACACAAGGGAAGGGAAGUAUGUAUUAUUCCUUCAUUUAAGAGAAAGAUAAUGUGUGAAUAUUAGUUAAUAUUUAUCGUACAUUUACUACCUGUGUCGAAGCGUAGUGUUACACACUUAAUUUCAAUUAUUUAAUUUGAUUCUAACAAUGAAUCCCCUGAGAUGGAUAAUAUCCUCUUCAUUUUACAGAUGAGACAAUUGAGACUUAAAGGUUAAACAAAUGAUUUCCUAAGCUCAUUCAGCUAAUAAACGGUAGGGGACUGCUUGACACCAGUCCAGUUGACCCUCAAAUCCAUGAUUUCUGCCACCAUAUUCACAGAAACAAGACAAGAGCUGAAAAUAUAGCCUGACUCUUGAAACAGUCAAAGAAUUGUGUAUGUUUAUGAAAGUUCUGAUUAAUAAGAUAUUCUGAGGACAAAAGACAAGGCAUGGGUAGAGGGGCAAUGUGUAGAUUAGAAUGUAUCACAAUGCCCACUAAAUAGUAAAACCAUAGAAAAUGAAAUUUAAUCCUUACUGUGUAGAAUAUUUAGAGUAGAUUGUUUUUUCCUCGGUGUCAAUUACUAUUACAACUAUCAAAGAAUGAAAUUAAACAAGAAACGGUUCCUUUGGUUUUUUUUUUUAAAGGUGGGAGUUAUAAAAACAGUAUUUGCCAUCUGGUUUUAGUUAUGGCUGUGGAAAUUCUAUGGGUACAAUUUGUUGUCAUUGUUGUUACCACUACCAAUACAGAGAUGCUAAUUGUAACAUCAGUUUCUAAAUCAGAUAGUGAAUAAUUACAUUUUCAAUGUUUUCUUAACAUAGAUACAAGUUAACAGGAUAUGCUUCUGGCCUGUUUCUGGAUUCUAAGGGUAGAACCAGCAUAAAACUAGUCAGUCCAAGUAUUUCUAAAGAUCCACAGACACAGUUCUCCUGGAUUUGGGAAGCCUAGAGAUAUUAGCACAAUAAUUAAGGCCCAACAACUUUUAAAAGCCUUUCCACUGCACAGUGAAAGAAAACCACAAACUCCUUGUUUAAUAAGUGGGAUCACGUGCUUUUAACACGAGGAAAAGGUCAAUCUGAAGCAACUGAUAUGGAACUGCCAGAGUAGGAGUUGAAAAUCUUCCUAAACUGCUGGAGGAUACACCUCUGAUAGCUUGAGACAAAUAUCCUCUUGAUCAUUGUUUCACCAUAUUUGUCUUUGCUCAUGGAGAACCAUUUUGAUCCGUGGUUUAGCCUCCCAGGUGAUUGAACAAUACCGGUGAUCUGAGGCAGACCCUCUGUGACGGAUAACAGGAAAGAAUAUUGAUUGAACAUCUACUCAAGAACUGCAAAACAGAGAUUACCUGACCUAAAGGAGUCCAUUCUCAAUUUUCUGUGCAAAUUGGGGAAGGCUGUUGAUAAUCGGUGGAUGCUAUAGUGCCCAUGGAAAGACUCUAGUCUGAAGAUACCAGUCUCUCCCUCCCAAGAUCACCUCCCCUGACCAACCUUCUGCACUCCUGACAGAUACAAGGGAGCAAGCAAGUUGCACCCAACCUAAUAGUAAAUUGCAGGGACAUUUCCAUUCUAAGGAAGGAAUUUUUGUGUGUGUUGCAACUCAGCUUCUGCUCUGGCAUUUUGCUGUGCAUUUAUAUUGCCAAUCAUGUUGGAGAGUCCAUGUGGUGAUUUCUGAAAACGAGAUGUGAGAAAGAAGAGGAUAAUUUAAGUCUAGACCUACAGAUUGUGCUGAUAAAGUGAUGAAGAACUACAAUCUUCUUAGUCAUUUCAUUGUAUAAGUGCAAUAAAGGAUUUUGUGUCUUUCCUGGCAAACAACUUGUGACCACAGUGAUGGCUCCAGCAGAAUGGAAAAGACCCUUUACCUCACAUCUCAGAAUGUGAGAACAGAGGAGAAGCCUGGUUUGAGUGAGUUUUUCCUGAAGCAAAAGGGAAGAGCUUAAUUUCAAAAGGAAUAUCUUGAAAGACGCAUCAACUCACCAUUAGAAAACAUGAAACGACAGAUUACACCCACAUUGAAAGACCUAUCUUAAUUCAGACUUCAAAAUCUUACAAACGUCCAAGUCCCUCCUUUGAAAUGCUACUAAGACUGCAGUAAGAAUACAUAGCAUGCAGUGACUGAGAGGAAGAGAGAUACUAACACUUGAAGUAAUCCAGUCUAUCAAUAGGAGAUGGACUGCUUUGAUUUAAAGCGAUUUACAAAAGGAUUUGGAUACCUCAUCUCUCCUGUUUCGCCAAGGUCUUGACUCAUCGCUGCAGAUGACUAAAUCCCAUUGAGCUAAAUCUCCUGAGGUUUUCCUGGAGUUGGAAGAAUCCAUCUAUUUUGCUAGGGAAGCAAAGAGAUGAAAUUAUGAAGUUAUGAAAAUUAUAAUUUAUAAAUAAAAUUAUAAAAUUAUGAAGUUAUGAAAUUAUAAAUGGUGCCCAGAUGAACAACCACACUGAGUACAAAGGAUGGUGUCUGAGAUCACGGAGGUGGGCCUGCUUCAUUUCAUUUGACAGUGGCCUCAGAGUAAGCUUCGUUGAGGUUGGUGUUCUGUGUGACUGUUGAUGUCUGGUGGGAGAAUAACAUGGCCUGGCUGUGGGAUCCAGGCCGGCUUCUGAAUGCGAAGGGCUGCUGCUUUCUCUUUCCUCAUCCAUUCUACGUCGCUAAAGCGCUCACUGAGUGCUGGGGUCGCACAGUAGAAAUGGUUUCUGUCUUUAAGGGAUCUACAAUGAGUGUUAAAAGCAGAUGGAAAAUAGACAAUGGGCAAUUAAUUAGUCAACAAAUAUGAACCAAGUGCCCCAUGGGGCAGGUUCUGUUGUGGACACGGGAAAUAUGAAGGAAAGCACAGACAGAGACCCUCUGCCCUCACGGAGUCCUCAUUCUAGCAGAAAGAGACAAGCAAUAAACAAAGCAAAGAAGUAUGUUAUCCAUUGCGUUUGAGGGUAAUUAUGGGGAAAAGAAAAAGCAGAGUUAGAGGAAUGACACCCGUAAGAGGGAAUGGCAAGGGUUGCAACAUUAAACUGGGUGGCAGAGGGGGUAUGCUAUGAUGAGUGUAUACGGAACCAUUAUAUGGAGGAAAUACACAACCGCUCAGGCAUAAUUUUUUAUCCAUUUUUUUGAUAACUUAUAAACCAGGGAAAAAUAAGAUAUGCACUGUUUUAU
rnacentral:lncRNA from 1 species